GUGUCUGGUGUGUUUCCUAGAAUUGACGGCCGCGAAUUCGCCCUUGUGCCAGCAGCCGCGGUAAUUCCAGCUCCAAUAGCGUAUAUUAAAGUUGUUGCAGUUAAAAAGCUCGUAGUUGAACCUUGGGCCUGGUUGGCCGGUCCGCCUCACCGCGUGUACUGGUCCGACCGGGCCUUUCCUUCUGGGGAGCCGCAUGCCCUUCACUGGGCGUGUCGGGGAACCAGGACUUUUACUUUGAAAAAAUUAGAGUGUUCAAAGCAGGCCUUUGCUCGAAUACUUUAACAUGGAAUAAUAUAAUAGGACGUGCGGUUCUAUUUUGUUGGUUUCUAGGACCGCCGUAAUGAUUAAUAGGGAUAGUCGGGGGCAUCAGUAUUCAAUUGUCAGAGGUGAAAUUCUUGGAUUUAUUGAAGACUAACUACUGCGAAAGCAUUUGCCAAGGAUGUUUUCAUUAAUCAAUGAACGAAAGUUAGGGGAUCGAAGACGAUCAGAUACCGUCGUAGUCUUAACCAUAAACUAUGCCGACUAGGGAUCGGUGGAUGUUACUAUUUUGACUCCAUCGGCACCUUACGAGAAAUCAAAGUUUUUGGGUUCUGGGGGGGGUAUGGUCGCAAGGCUGAAACUUAGAGAAAUUGACGGAAGGGCACCACCAGGCGUGGAGCCUGCGGCGUAUUUUGACUCAACACGGGGAAACUCACCACGUCCAGACACGAUAACGAUUGACAGAUUGAGAGCUCUUUUCUUGAUUUUGUGGGUGGUGGUGCAUGCCGUUCUUAGUUGGUGGAGUGAUUGACUGCUUAAUUGCCAUACGAAUCGAGACCUCACCUGCUAACUAGUCAGCCCGCUGUGGCCGUCGACCCGCCUUCUUUAGAGAGGCACUAUUGUCCUCAGCCCGAU
rnacentral:rRNA from 1 species